GUGCUCACUUCAGCAGCACAUACUCUAAAAUUGAGAUAAUACAGGGAAGUUUAGAGUGGCACCUGUAAAAGGAUGACAUACAAGUUUAUGAUACAUUCCAGAUUUUU
ensembl:snRNA U6 U6 spliceosomal RNA